rnacentral:rRNA from 1 species
AUUGAACGCUGGCGGCACGCCUAACACAUGCAAGUCGAGCGGCAGCGAGACUAGUAGCAAUACUAGUUGUCGGCGAGCGGCGGACGGGUGAGUAACACGUAGGAAUCUGCCCUUAAGCGGGGGAUAACCAAGGGAAACUUUGGCUAAUACCGCAUAAUCUCGAGAGAGCAAAGCUGCCCGCAAGGGUGGCACUUGAGGAGGAGCCUGCGUCCGAUUAGCUAGUUGGUGGGGUAAUGGCCUACCAAGGCGAUGAUCGGUAACUGGUCUGAGAGGACGACCAGUCACACUGGGACUGAGACACGGCCCAGACUCCUACGGGAGGCAGCAGUGGGGAAUAUUGGACAAUGGGGGCAACCCUGAUCCAGCGAUGCCGCGUGGGUGAAGAAGGCCUUCGGGUCGUAAAGCUCUUUAGGUUGGGAAGAAGGGUAUUGGCUGAAUAAUCCAGUACUUUGACGGUACCGACAGAAUAAGCACCGGCAAACUCUGUGCCAGCCGCCGCCGUAAGAC